ensembl:lncRNA
GUUUGGGUCAAUGCGUCGUUCAGUGAGUCGUUCAGUGGGUUGUUCAGUAGGUGGUAAAACUGGGCCUUUUGUUUUGUCAUUAAGUAGGCAAAAGGGGGUGGGGUAGCAUACAGCUACAAAGAUAUAAAAGUAGCCAACUUGUGUUAUGCUGUGGUUAUUGCCACUGUGUUUCCGCAGGACACUGACUGAGAGAGAGAAGGACGAGAACAGAAGACAACUGUUCAGUUUUAAUUGUAAACAAGAUGGAGACAAAUUUUGUGUAUUGCCUGCUUUGCAAAAAGCCUCAAAAUUGCAUUCAAACACACCUGAGAAAAGUUUGCCUGAAAGACUGCACACCACAGGAACGUGAGGAAGAAGCUUCCAGAGCCAUUGACUCACAGAAGCUGUUUGGUAAUGAAGGUAGAGUCUGGAACUUCACAGAGCUCCAGGAGUACUGCAAGGAUGAAGAAGCUUGCAUUAAACUCUGCACUCGCCUUCAAUCACGUGGAUUUCUCAUCACGAACAGUCCCCAAGCAUGCCCGACAGUCGUGCCAACAGCGAGGCCUGAUAAGAAGAAAAUUCUUGCCGUGGCCAUGAAGGACAUCGACUAUUUCCAUGCAAGACUUUCAGGCGGUGAUUCCAUUCCCACAUUUGCAAUGACUACCUUCAGACAGUACUGCGAGGCCAUCCUGAUUUUACAGCAUGGACUGACAGCAAAUGCUGUUCAACAACUUUCU